AAACAGAGGGACGACUUGACGUUAAAUCAAGUAUUAGAAGUUGAUUUAUGAAAAUAAUUUGGAUGUGGCGGGGGCUUAAGUUCAUUAACGGGAGAUAAUUAUUCAGGUAGGGAGCUCUACUAUAGUGAACAAUUAAUCUGGAAAGAGAAGGUCGAUACACAAUCAAUCUUUUUUCUUCUAUAGGAGAACCAACCUGAUUCAAUUGUUUAUUGUGUUAAAACGGAAGACAAGCGUUU
rnacentral:lncRNA from 1 species